AUGCUCACUUUGACAGCACCUAUACUAAAAAUUGGAAUGACACAGAGAUUAGUAUGGCCCCUACACAAGAAUGGCACACAAAUUUGUGAAGCAUUUCGUAUUUCU